CCUUGGCUCAGGCUGUUUCCUCAAAUGAGGAAGCCGAGGUUUUAAUAGCUCCCUCGAGGACUCCUGAAUAGUGAAAUUCUUCCUUGGCUCCGUCCAAAGCACUGGGUUUCAUUUAGAUUGAGCAUCUGCUGGGCUCAGGUGCUGUCAUCUAGGCACGUGACCAGGCCAGAGCUCAACUCCUGUCAGGAGAACCUUGUUGUGGAUGGAGUACUCUAUAUUUGUGUAUGUCUGCUUUUUUUUUUUUUUUUUUUUUUUUUUGCCAUUAGGAAUAUGAAAAUGGCAUUGACAGUUAAGCAAAUUACACGAUUACACGUCAACCUUCGUUCUCCAGUUGGUGUUUAGUCCCUUCUGGCCCUCUAUCCAUGUAACAUAGUUAAUUAUGAAUAGUGGUUAAACAUCACCUUCACUUCCUGUGUUAGCAUUUUUCUUUUUUUUUUUUCCCAGUCAUUUUCUAUGACAGGUGUCCAUUUAUCACUUUCUGUUUUUUACUUUGUUGUGGACUAGAACAACCUGGGAAGUGACAUAGUUAUGUAUGUCGAUUUGUUUCUGAUAUUUGGGAUGAGGGCUUUCAACUGUCAGGGACUACUACAGCCCUUUCCAGAAGUUGUUGCUGUCUCUCUCUCAGGUAUGGUGACUACCCGAUGCUCCCUAACCGCUCACAGCAUGAGAGGGAUCCGUGGUAUGAAUGGGACCACCCAGACCUCAGGCUGAACUGGGGUGAACCGAUACACUGGGACCUAGACAUGUACAUCAGGAAUCGUGUGGACACAUCUCCUACACCGGUUUCCUGGGAUGUCAUGUGUAGACAUCUCUUCGGCUUUGUGGCUUUCAUGGUUUUCAUGUUCUGGGUAGGGGACAUGUUCCCUUCCUACCAGCCUGUGGGUCCGAAGCAGUACCCGUACAAUAAUCUGUACCUGGAGCGAGGCGGUGAUCCUUCCAAAGAACCUGAGCCCGUGGUUCACUAUGAGAUCUGAGGAGGCUCCGUGGGCUCUCGUGCCCUCUGAAUGGGACUCCUUGUUCCUAGAGGUUUCACCUUAAUAAAAUCCCUAAUAAAGCUCAGUACUGUGGU
rnacentral:lncRNA from 1 species